GGCCCUUCGGCGCGGCGUGCGCGCUCCCGGACGCGGAGGCGCCUUCUCUGCCCGGCGCCGGCGGCGCGGGCGCAGGCACGUCCCGGCUGGGCUGCAUUUGAGCCCGGGCCCGUGGAGCCGCAACCUGACAGUACCGGAGUUGAAGGAGCCGGGACGCGCAAAGGCGCGUGAGUGCUCGAGGCUGGUGGAACCCGGGAGAGGACCCGUGCCUGCGAACGGCCCGAGCAAGGUGGACUGAACUCUAAGAUUAAUCCUUCUGGAGAAGAUUAUGUUCUUGCUCAUAAGCCUGGUUUACAUAGUUCCCACUAAUCUUCAGAGAAGUCACCUCACAGAGCAAACUUUGCACCAGUCACUCUUUUCCGUCCUCCUUUCAAGGUUUGUGUGCACCUGAAGCGACCCCCUGUUGGUUGGUUCUGAGGGACUCAGAGAUUGAAGAGGGAAGUAACCUGCGGGAAUGAACGGGAACGCGCUGAGCACCGUAGUGCCCGUAUAUGAAUGGACACAAGGUACCCUCGAUUGCACCUUUUCGUCCUUUGGGGUAAUAGGUCUUGGAGUACAAAAAAAAAAGAGAGAGAGAAACAAGCCAACUCUUUUUCGCCAUAGAUGUAUCGAUUGAUCCUUAAACUGUCAAUAUUCUUCCUAGAUUGAACAGCCAAAAAUGACCUGUACAUUUUCUGAACCUCUUUGGCACUUUUUUUUUCUGUAGAUUUGUGACACUAAUAUAGUCAACCUUAUUUAGGUUGAUCUGUACAAUAUUUUGUCCCCCAGAAGAACCCUUGAGUAUUUUCCACGAUGGAUCACGCCUGAUAGGAAGUAUUCAAUAAAUGUGACUCCAAAGAGCUCAUGUGUUAGGCAAUGUAGAAAUGUUCAGAGGCGAAAGGAUUGGAUUAUGAGAACUGUAAAUAAAAGUGAAUAUAGUGCAGCAAGGAAUAAUUGUGUCCAGUGAUUUCAGCUCUAGGAUUACUUCUUUAGUUUAAAAUGCUCCGUUCUCUCCCACUUCAAUUCCCAAGCCCUUGUUUCUCCAUACAGAUCCAGAAGCUACUAAGAAAUGUGACAUUUGUCCAAGGGCCAUCUAAUCCCAAGUUUCUUUUUACCUGUUUUCCUAAGGUUUAUUUCUGAAGGUGCUGGGACAUAUCAAGAGUGUUCCAACUAUUUUGUGUUUUCCCUGUCUGCUGGGCUCCUUCCCAGAGGGCAUUUUAUUAAGCUCUGUAUUCCCAGAGCCUUCCUAGCCUUAGAGCCUAACUCAAUGAAUGCUGGUAGUGUUGGUGAUUGUUGUGGUUUGGAUCUAAAAAUGUCCUCCAAAGAGCUCACGUGUUAGGCAAGGUAGAAAUGUUCAGAAGCAAAAGAUUAGAUUAUGAGAACUGUAGCCUCAUGAGUGGAUUAAUCUAUUUGAUGGAUUAAUAAAUGGACUGCUGUGUGGUAACUAUAGGUAGAUAGGGUGUGGCUAAAAGAAGUAGGUCACUGGAGGCCUAAGACUGUAUCUUCCUUUCUCUCUUUGUCUCUCUCUCACUCUUACACUCUCUCAAGCCCAAAGCCAUAGAGUUGGCUGACAUGACUGAACCUCUGAAACUGUGACCCCCAAAUAAACUUUUCCUCCUCUAAGUUGUUCUUGUCAGGUAUUUUGGUCACAGCAAUGAAAAGCUAACAGUGAUACUUAAUAAAGUUAGAAUUAAAAUUAAAAAUUAAUGCAAAUUAUCUGUUGACUUCCUGAGACAAAUUUAGUUUCAGUUUUCUUCAAGUACUAAGAAUUGAAACCAGAGGCACUCUACCACCGAACUACACCCCCAAACCAUUUUAUUUUAUUUUUAAUUUAUUUCUAAGAAGGGUCUCACUAAAUUGCACAGGCUAACCUCUAACUUGUGAUCCUUCUGUCUCCACCUUCCAAACUGCUAGAAUUACAUGCAUGGGUCAGUCACCACACCCAACAACAUACAUGUUCUAUUUAUAAAUAUUCAACAAGUAGGUGCUAAGGCUCUACUAAAUAAAGUACAAUAAAGAUACACUGGGCACCAUCAGGAAAUCAACAAAUGGAAAAGCCACAAUUUCUGUCUUCUGAUAUUUUUUCACAAGAGCAGAGCUUUUUGACAAAAAGGACAAUGCUGAAAUAAUUAUCUUCAUUCAAUAAGAAAUUUAGCCAAAAAAAGAAAAGCAUAAAAUUUUUUUAUGAUGGAGACUCCAAAACAAAUUUAGUGUUCCC
rnacentral:lncRNA from 1 species